AUUGAACGCUGGCGGCAUGCCUUACACAUGCAAGCCGAACGGCAGCACGGGAGCAAUCCUGGUGGCGAGUGGCGAACGGGUGAGUAAUAUAUCGGAACGUGCCCAGUCAUGGGGGAUAACGCAGCGAAAGCUGUGCUAAUACCGCAUACGAUCUCUGGAUGAAAGCGGGGGACCGUAAGGCCUCGCGCGAUUGGAGCGGCCGAUAUCAGAUUAGCUAGUUGGUGGGGUAAAGGCCCACCAAGGCGACGAUCUGUAGCUGGUCUGAGAGGACGACCAGCCACACUGGAACUGAGACACGGUCCAGACUCCUACGGGAGGCAGCAGUGGGGAAUUUUGGACAAUGGGCGCAAGCCUGAUCCAGCAAUGCCGCGUGCAGGAUGAAGGCCUUCGGGUUGUAAACUGCUUUUGUACGGAACGAAACGGCGAGCUCUAAUAAAGUUUGCUAAUGACGGUACCGUAAGAAUAAGCACCGGCUAACUACGUGCCAGCCGCCGCGGUAA
rnacentral:rRNA from 1 species